rnacentral:misc_RNA from 1 species
AUUUGGAUGAGCAUUCAUUUUUGCUUUCAUAAAUUUGAUUUGAGUUUAUUUGAUACUGUAUCAGAAUUUAACUGUUAAUUGAAAAUAAUAUCUGGAUGAUCGAUGGGAAAAAAAUUUAAAGCCCAUGAAUGGAGUUUAGAUAGUUUGUUAAGUGGUGAACAAAGAAUAGAAUUUUAUGUAGUCCAUGCAUAGCGAUUUGGAUGGUGAUUGGUGCAGAUUUUUGUUGGCUUUGAUUCAAAUUGUGGAUG